UUCUGGGAGGAUUGACAGAUUGAGAGCUCUUUCUUGAUUCGGUCGAUGGUGGUACAUGUCCGUUCUAAGUUGGUAGUGAUUUGUCUGGUUAAUUCCGAUAACGAACAAGACUCUAGCCUAUUAAAUAGGUGCGUGGUUCUCUGCACCUUGCACCCUUCUUAGAGGGACAAGCGGCUCCUAGCCGCACGAAACGGAGCAAUAACAGGUCUGCCAGUUUAG
rnacentral:rRNA from 1 species